rnacentral:rRNA from 1 species
UAGGGAAUCUUCCACAAUGGGCGAAAGCCUGAUGGAGCAACGCCGCGUGUGUGAUGAAGGGUUCCGGCUCGUAAAACACUGUUGUAAGAGAAGAAUGACAUUGAGAGUAACUGUUCAAUGUGUGACGGUAUCUUACCAGAAAGGGACGGCUAACUACGUGCCAG